CAUAAAUCCAAAAUAUAAAUAUAUGAAUAUAUUUCAUCAUACAUCUUAUAUUUUGAAUCUAUAAUGAAUAAAAAAUUUCAAAAAAUGAAAUUAUGGUAAAAACUAUCGUCGUCGUCAGUGGGUGCUGACAUUCCUCUAAUAGUUUUCUUGGAGUCCAUAUAUGGAAAGGAACAUUGCUUAAUUUUCAAUCUUGUACAUUUAUUGGCACCUUAACUCACAAGUGAUCUAAAGAAUUAACAUUUGGAGGCUUAAUGCACAAAACAAUUAUGAAAUCACAUAAUAUGUUGAAAAAUUAACUCUAGAUCACCCAACAAAGAUAUGGAAAAUAUUCUUAAUUUCCAAAUUCGAAAAUUGUGGUAAAUAUUAAAUUUAGCAAUUAAUUGUAUUUUGUGUGCGCAUGAGUUUAAUUAACAAUCCUGUCAAAACACUUUUAAUUAGUUCAAUACCCUAUUUGGCAAAUGAAUAUAUGCAAACAGAAAGCAGUGUGAUAUAUAUAUGUACGAGUACAAAGAGGUGGCACUCUAGACAUGAAAAAUCUGGCAGAAGUUAACCAUUACACUACGCAUACCUUAUUGGCUGUGUCCCAUUUGUAAGAUUUCUGGGUCGUAGAGCCACUUUUCAAGGACGCUUGGUGCCCAAACAGUUUCCGGUAACAAAAGGAAAUCAGUUUCCUGACGUAACCUGCAAAAUUUGUUUGGCUUAAUUUACUUAAUUAAUUAAUUAAGGUCACUAAAGAGAAUCAAUAUUAUUGUAUAUAAUCUGCAACCUAUAGGUCUCAAAGCAUUGCUUAAGCAAGUGCUCAAUUGUAUAUUUGCCUGCCAUAUAUAGAUAUCCAAACGAGUGUUAAACUUUGGCUUAAUUAGUUAGUUAAUUAUUACAAUAUACAUAUCCUGUGCAUGCGUUUGCACCAUAGAAAAAUAUCAGCUCACUACCUUUUGCCUACUUCUUAUAUAUAAGCACAACCCCAGUUCUCCCUUCUCAUUGAGUUACAAACCUAGGUGAAGAGAAAGGCUGAAAAAGACAGAGAGAGAGAGAGAUGGCUGUGGUUCUUGUGUAUAGUUUUUGCUGUACAUUACUCUGGGCAAUUGUAUUGAGAGCGAUCAAAAGGAGAAUACAACAGAAGAAAAGAGCAAACUUGCCACCAGGUUCAAUGGGGUUGCCUUAUAUUGGAGAGACUCUUCAACUCUACGCUCAAAACCCUGACAUCUUCUUUGCUGCCAGGCGGAAAAGGUAUGGAGAAAUAUUCAAGACUUGCAUUCUUGGUUGCCCUUGUGUUAUGGUGGCUAGCCCUGAAGCUAUCAGGUUUGUGUUGGUGACACAAGCAUGCUUGUUCAAGCCAACAUACCCACCUAGCAAAGAAAAAUUGAUAGGCCCAUCAGCAGUAUUCUUCCACCAAGGGAUUUACCAUACUCAAAUGAGAAAACUAGUACAAGUUUCAUUGUCUCUUGAUGUCAUCAGAAGCUUGGUCCCCCAUAUUGAAACUAUUGCCAUCUCUGCCUUGGAAUCAUGGUCUAGCACUUCUGGCAAAGUUGUCAACACUUUCUAUGAGAUGAAGAAGUUCACUUUUGAUGCUGCUGCUUUAUCCAUCUUUGGUAGCUUGGACACUUGCUACAGAGAAAAUCUCAAGACAAAUUACUACAUAUUAGACAAAGGUUACAAUUCUUUCCCAACACAUCUACCUGGAACUUUAUACACUAAAUCAGUCAUGGCAAGAAAAAAGCUAAGCCUGAUUCUUAGCCAGAUAAUAAGGGAGAGAAAGGAGAAGGGAUUAGUGCAGAAAGAUCUUUUGGGCUAUCUGCUAAAUUUCAAAGAUGAGAAGGGUCAAGCCCUAUCCACCCAUCAAAUCACUGAUAACAUUAUUGGUGUACUAUUUGCUGCUCAAGACACCACAGCUAGUCUCUUAACAUGGAUUCUUAAAUACAUUCAUGAUGAUUCAAAACUUUUAGAAGCUAUUAAGGUUUAGAUUUUAUUUUUUUGCUAUAUCUUUACUGCAAUAACCCAUUUCUUGCUAUGCAAGUUAAUUAUUAAAACUUGAAUUUUAC
rnacentral:misc_RNA from 1 species